CCUACGGGUAGCAGCAGUGAGGAAUAUUGGUCAAUGGCCGUAAGGCUGAACCAGCCAAGUAGCGUGAGGGAAGACUGCCCUACGGGUUGUAAACCUCUUUUAUGCGGGGAUAAAGGUGUCCACGUGUGGAUGUUUGCAGGUACCGCAUGAAUAAGGACCGGCUAAUUCCGUGCCAGCAGCCGCGGUAAUACGGAAGGUCCGGGCGUUAUCCGGAUUUAUUGGGUUUAAAGGGAGCGUAGGCCGGUCUUGAAGCGUGCCGUGAAAUUUUGUGGCUCAACCAGGGGCUUGCGGCGCGAACUGGCGAGCUUGAGUGCGCGGAAAGCAGGCGGAAUUCGUGGUGUAGCGGUGAAAUGCUUAGAUAUCACGAAGAACCCCGAUUGCGAAGGCAGCUUGCCGCAGCGUAACUGACGCUGAUGCUCGAAAGCGCGGGUAUCGAACAGGAUUAGAUACCCUUGUAGUC
rnacentral:rRNA from 1 species